UCGGGAAUUUUGGGCAAUGGGCGAAAGCCUGACCCAGCAACGCCGCGUGAAGGAUGAAAUCCCUCGGGAUGUAAACUUCGCAAGAAUGGGAAGAAUUAGUAGGGGUUAAUACCCCCUAUGAUGACGGUACCAUUUGUAAGCUCCGGCUAACUCCGUGCCAGCAGCCGCGGUAAUACGGGGGGAGCAAGCGUUGUUCGGAUUUACUGGGCGUAAAGGGCGCGUAGGCGGUCAGCACAAGUCAGUUGUGAAAUCUCCGGGCUUAACUCGGAACGGUCAACUGAUACUGUGCGACUAGAGUGCAGAAGGGGCAACUGGAAUUCUCGGUGUAGCGGUGAAAUGCGUAGAUAUCGAGAGGAACACCUGCGGCGAAGGCGGGUUGCUGGGCUGACACUGACGCUGAGGCGCGAAAGCCAGGGGAGCGGACGGGAUUAGAUACCCCGGUAGUCCUGGCCUUAAACGAUGGAUGCUUGGUGUCUGGAGUUAUAUAGUCUCCGGGUGCCGCAGCUAACGCGUUAAGCAUCCCGCCUGGGGAGUACGGUCGCAAGACUGA
rnacentral:rRNA from 1 species